GAGGCGUGGCGUCUGCUGGGGCACCUGAAGGAGACUUGGGGGUACCCGCGUCGUGCCUCUUGGGCUGUGAGGAGUCGCCGCUGCCGCCACUGCCUGUGCUUCAUGAGGAAGAUGCUCGCCGCCGUCUCCCGCGUGUUGUCUGGCGCUUCUCAGAAGCCGGCAAGCAGAGUGCUGGUAGCAUCCCGUAAUUUUGCAAAUGAUGCUACAUUUGAAAUUAAGAAAUGUGACCUUCACCGGCUGGAAGAAGGCCCUCCUGUCACAACAGUGCUCACCAGGGAGGAUGGGCUCAAAUACUACAGGAUGAUGCAGACUGUGCGCCGAAUGGAGUUGAAAGCAGAUCAGCUGUAUAAACAGAAAAUUAUUCGUGGUUUCUGUCACUUGUGUGAUGGUCAGGAAGCUUGCUGUGUGGGCCUGGAGGCCGGCAUCAACCCCACAGACCAUCUCAUCACAGCCUACCGGGCUCAUGGCUUUACUUUCACCCGGGGCCUUUCUGUCCGAGAAAUUCUCGCAGAGCUUACAGGUUUGCUGUUGAUUUACAGAAAGGGGAAAUGAGUGGAUUAAGUUUUUAAAUAACUCUCAUUAAGAUGCUAUUAUGAGUUAAUAUUUGUUAA
rnacentral:sRNA from 1 species